GGCGCACGGGUGAGUAACGCGUGGGUAACCUACCUUGGAGUGGGGGAUAACCAGCCGAAAGGCUGACUAAUCCCGCAUACGACCGACAGGCAUAAGUUUGUCGGGGAAAGAUGGCCUCUGCUUGCAAGCUAUCGCUCUUGGAUGGGCCCGCGUUAGAUUAGCUAGUUGGUGAGGUAAAGGCUCACCAAGGCUACGAUCUAUAGCUGGUUUGAGAGGACGACCAGCCACACUGGAACUGAGACACGGUCCAGACUCCUACGGGAGGCAGCAGUGAGGAAUAUUGCGCAAUGGGGGAAACCCUGACGCAGCGACGCCGUGUGAGCGAUGAAGGCCUUCGGGUUGUAAAGCUCUGUCAGAGGGGAAGAAAGGGGAUAUGGCUAAUAUCCAUGUCCAUUGACGGUACCCUUGGAGGAAGCACCGGCUAACUCCGUGCCAGCAGCCGCGGUAAUACGGAGGGUGCGAGUGUUAUUCGGAAUCACUGGGCGUAAAGAGCACGUAGGCGGAUAGGUAAGUCAGAUGUGAAAUCCCGGAGCUCAACUCCGGAACUGCAUUUGAUACUGCCUGUCUUGAGUGUGGUAGA
rnacentral:rRNA from 1 species